AGAGGUGUGACUUGUAUGCGAAAGAGAAGGGCAAUAGAUAGAGAGAGAAAUAUGGUGUUUUAUAGCCAAUUUUGGUUGCUAUUUGGAAUUUAAUUACUCUCUCCGUGGGUAAACAUAUUUUCAUUGGCAAAAUAAAAAAGAGAGAAUCUUGGGAAUUAUUGGGAAGGGUAAAACUGUCAUUCAAGAAAGAAAAAAUCUGCACAAUUACUGCAAUAGCCUUUCAAAAAAUUUAACUCUUGUUGACCUGGGACAAAACCAUCCAAUGCAAGCCAAAGUUUGAGGA
rnacentral:misc_RNA from 1 species